GCUUGCUUGGUGGAUCAGUGGCGAACGGGUGAGUAACACGUGAGCAACCUGCCCUGGACUCUGGGAUAAGCGCUGGAAACGGCGUCUAAUACUGGAUAUGAGACGUGAUCGCAUGGUCGUGUUUGGAAAGAUUUUUCGGUCUGGGAUGGGCUCGCGGCCUAUCAGCUUGUUGGUGAGGUAAUGGCUCACCAAGGCGUCGACGGGUAGCCGGCCUGAGAGGGUGACCGGCCACACUGGGACUGAGACACGGCCCAGACUCCUACGGGAGGCAGCAGUGGGGAAUAUUGCACAAUGGGCGAAAGCCUGAUGCAGCAACGCCGCGUGAGGGAUGACGGCCUUCGGGUUGUAAACCUCUUUUAGCAGGGAAGAAGCGAAAGUGACGGUACCUGCAGAAAAAGCGCCGGCUAACUACGUGCCAGCAGCCGCGGUAAUACGUAGGGCGCAAGCGUUAUCCGGAAUUAUUGGGCGUAAAGAGCUCGUAGGCGGUUUGUCGCGUCUGCUGUGAAAUCCCGAGGCUCAACCUCGGGCCUGCAGUGGGUACGGGCAGACUAGAGUGCGGUAGGGGAGAUUGGAAUUCCUGGUGUAGCGGUGGAAUGCGCAGAUAUCAGGAGGAACACCGAUGGCGAAGGCAGAUCUCUGGGCCGUAACUGACGCUGAGGAGCGAAAGGGUGGGGAGCAAACAGGCUUAGAUACCCUGGUAGUCCACCCCGUAAACGUUGGGAACUAGUUGUGGGGACCAUUCCACGGUUUCCGUGACGCAGCUAACGCAUUAAGUUCCCCGCCUGGGGAGUACGGCCGCAAGGCUAAAACUCAAAGGAAUUGACGGGGACCCGCACAAGCGGCGGAGCAUGCGGAUUAAUUCGAUGCAACGCGAAGAACCUUACCAAGGCUUGACAUAUACGAGAACGGGCCAGAAAUGGUCAACUCUUUGGACACUCGUAAACAGGUGGUGCAUGGUUGUCGUCAGCUCGUGUCGUGAGAUGUUGGGUUAAGUCCCGCAACGAGCGCAACCCUCGUUCUAUGUUGCCAGCACGUAAUGGUGGGAACUCAUGGGAUACUGCCGGGGUCAACUCGGAGGAAGGUGGGGAUGACGUCAAAUCAUCAUGCCCCUUAUGUCUUGGGCUUCACGCAUGCUACAAUGGCCGGUACAAAGGGCUGCAAUACCGUGAGGUGGAGCGAAUCCCAAAAAGCCGGUCCCAGUUCGGAUUGAGGUUUGCAACUCGACCU
rnacentral:rRNA from 1 species